AGCUCCAAUAGCGUAUAUUAAUGUUGUUGCAGUUAAAAAGCUCGUAGUUGGAUUUCUGACAGGAGCGACCGGUCCGACCUUUUAGGUCGAGUACUUUGUGUUGUCUCUAGUCAUCCUUAUGGAGAACGCUUGUGGUAUUAAGUUAUCGCGGGUGGGAACCAUAUCGUUUACUGUGAAAAAAUUAGAGUGUUUAAAGCAGGCAAUCGCUGUGAAUACGUUAGCAUGGAAUAAUAAGAUAGGACUUUGGUACUAUUUUGUUGGUUUACAUACCAAGGUAAUGAUUAAGAGGGACAGUUGGGGGUAUUCGUAUUUAAUUGUCAGAGGUGAAAUUCUUGGAUUUAUGAAAGACGAACUACUGCGAAAGCAUUUACCAAGGAUGUUUUCAUUAAUCAAGAACGAA
rnacentral:rRNA from 1 species